rnacentral:lncRNA from 1 species
UAUUUUUAUUGUAUCAUGUGCUAAUGAAAAGCCCUGCGAUUGAAGAAGGAAAGAAUAUGAAUUGUAGGAAAUGAUGUCUUCGAGAGACCACAGUAUUAUUUUGACAUGAGAUGAGCUGACAAUUCACUGCAUGCUGCUGUGGCAUGGGAAGCAGGUGCUCAGCCAUCCCGGGUGACAGCGGGACGGGGAUCAGCCCCACCCCCACCCCACCCUCAGUUCCACGUCUCCAUCCAGGGCCCCCUGGAGCUCCACACAUAUCACCCGAGGGAGGAAUGGGGUGACCUAUGCAGGAUUUCGACCUUCUCAAACCCUCUCCACAUGAAAGCAGCUAAGCUUUCCUUUGUUGUCUAUUUGAGGAGCCCAUGUGAGAUUUUGUCCAGUAAAGGUUUCAUUACAAAAACACAAGUGGACGGUAGGUGACUCUGUCUUUGGAGGCAAGGUUGGGUGUCACUUUGUAGCCAAUGAGCCAAAGCUCCAUCCUGUCCAGAGCCGCUUCCCCCGGGGGGGGGGGGGGUGGCAGGUGGCUGUAGGUGCAUGGGGCUGGGGGAUAGGGAGCUGAAAGUUCAGACCUGAGACAGUUCCAGGGAAACACCUGUUCACUGAAAGAUUCCAAGUCCACCUUCCUGUCUGCACACGUCCACGAUUGUGCCCCAAGUGUGGGCUUUGGCUGCUUGGCUGGCGGCACUGCCUUUGGAGGUGAGCACGAGUUGUCUCCCUCACGGAGGUCCCCGCCUCACUGCACCCACUUUUUUCAGGCUUGCUUCACGAGUCUUCAGCCUAAGGUGGCUCUGAGCUCCUCUUACUUACUAUCAUCAAUUUAUGGGAAAGGAGCUGACUCUGGGACAGCCAGACGGACGGGGCAUAUAGGGCAGGGUGUGGGGGGGAGGGGCGUGACACACAUGCCUUCUUGGGGGACACCAUCCUCCCAGCACCUCCGUGGGUCUGCCAACCUGGAAGCUCCCAAACCCCUUUAUUUGGGGUGUUUUAUGGAGGUUUCAUUACUUAGUCAUUGACCACUGGAAACUGAACUCAAUUUCUCCCUUCCCUGGAGGGAUGUCAGCAGGUGGGGGCAGAGUCAGCCCUGUGAUCAGGUCUCAGUCUUUCUGGAAAUGGCCCCACCCCCCCUGAAGACAACCAUGUAGAUAGUUCUUAUGACGUCGGAACGACUUAGGGGCAGACGGGGCUAGGCAGGGAAAGAGAAGGGAAAGGCCCACAGUCAGGCUCCUACCCAUCCCAAGAAGACAGAGAUAAGACAGUAAAAACCAGAUAAAACAAACCUGGUUCCCUAGCUCCAAAAUGUUAGGGAGUCUCCCCCUUUAAUGGCUGUCUGACUAGGCUCAGGGAAACCCCGGAUAUAGUAAAAUGUCAUCCCUGUGAGAGGUAAUCCCCAGAGAGAAGGGAACACCUGGUCCCGCCCAUGAUAUUUACCAGAACAUCCUGUUUGUUAUUAUGAUUGUUCCAAGGUCACCAUGUUUGUUCUAAAUGUAGACACGAUAUUUACAAUCCACCCUGAUAUGGACAAGAAAUUCACCAAGUUCCCUGGUCAGUUUCCUAUAAAAGACAGACCCUAAAAGCCCCCAGUGGCAGCCCUGUCCGGCCCCUCUCACUUCUGAGAGCUUUCUCCGUAUCUCUGCUCCAUAAACCUCUACGGCUCUGAUCACUCUGUCACUCGUGAGAUUCAGUCUUCACCUCCUUGGGACGAGAACCGAGCUCUCCUGUAUCACCUACCACGUCAGAGUGGCCUCCUGAAAACACUGAGCUCCUCCAGGUCUGAUGGACCAUGUUAAGUUAACAGGACCAUAGGGACGAGGCCCAUUAUCUGUCCCUGGGACUGUUCUGGUGGCCUUUGGAAGCCACUUACUGUUCUUCCCAGGUCUGCUGCUGCGGUGACCACGGGUGUGCAGUAGGCCGAGCAUGAUGCACUACCUCCGACACACACCCACCUGAGCUCACGCUAAGCAGCAGACCCGAACAUUGGAGGAAAUUGCGUUUCACGGUUGUCUCUGUCUGGUUGGUUCUCUCCCUCCUUCCAUAGGGUAGAUUGGACUAUCACACACAGAUGUGCAGCUCUCCCUCCAAACCCUGGUGUGGAGUUCAUGCUCCUGUCUCAGGGACUUAGCAUUGGCCACGUGUGUGCACUGGCCGAGGACAUGGGGGCACCUGUGGCAGCACGCCAGUUCGAGGGGACACCUGCCCACUGCAGGUCUCUGCGUGCCCCUUUGGACCUGUGCGAUUUUCCACAGUGAAAAGGCACCUCACUGAGUCAUGGUCCAAAGAUCACGAGAGACUGAAUAGGCCUGGACUCAAGGCAGAGCCCGGAGCCAGGGCCAGCGAGCCAUGCCUGUUUACCGUCACAGGCCACACAGCUGGAGGGAUUAUUUGCAAUGUCUCGGUGCUGAUAGCUGCCUGGUGUCUCUCUUCCUUAACCAUCCCUCACGUCCAGAGGGGAAGGCCUCUCUCUCUCCACUGGGGCCCCACGAGGAAUACCUGCUGAUUCCCAUUUACGGUUAAUGCUUACCCAGGAUGGGAAGCCGAAGAGGACAGGCCCUACCACCCAUGCAUUCCCCAUAGAGAGUUUGUCACAAGGAGAGCUCUGAUCAAUGGCUGGAGACCACAUGAUUCUGUCAUUAAUUAAUGACUUUCCAUUGUCUCAUCAUUUUUCUUGAUUUUGAGGCCUUAAGAUGGAGCCUCCUCGUGGUGUCUUCCCCCGAGGCAGCAGGGAACACGAGGGAGAGCUCAGAUUACUGUGCAGAAGCCAAGGCUGAGGAAAAAGUCCGGGGCCAUCACGAACGUGGUCGGGGGAGAUUCAUGCAUUCCCAUUUCAAGUUGCCGCAGAGCAUUCCAAACUGCCUUAUAGUGUUCCUUGCACCUAAUUUUACCUAAGUCAACAUUUGUUCCCUAAUUCAAAGAUGCUUCCAGAAUACAUAAAAUCACUUUAAGGGUGGCCAUCAGGAAAGCUCUGUGAACACUUGCCCUCCUUGUCUUGGGAUUACAAAGCCAAUAGAGCUUCUUCUUUUGGUAGCAGAUUGGAUGUUCUUUACAGGCUCCCAUCUCACUAGGUGCGGGGGUUGGGGGGUGGGGGGCGGGUUUUAAUCAUCAUCAUCAGGUGGCCCAGAAGAAAACUCAGAAGCAAGGGUGUGAGUGCAAGUAGUUCCAUUGAGAGGUGAUCCCCGGGAGCUGCAGAGGUCAAGCAGCCAGCAGGGGACCGUGUGCUGUAAACACCGUAACCCUUGUGGGUCUUGGAGCUCAGCCCCAUGGGGAGGUCUGGGUGAACUACCCC